AGAGGUCAGCUCCUAGCCAGGGAUCUUGCCUCUUUGCUGCCUGCGGCCAGGACUAAGCAAGAGCCAGACCCUCCCCCCCCCCAACCCCCCGGCCGUGCAGAAAAGACUCCACUGGAGACGCAAAUCGCUCGUCCGCACCGCCGCUGCCGCCGCCGCCGCCUCUGUCGCUGGAGUGAGAGGCGCACGAUCCCAGCGCACUGCGGAUUCCGCCCGAGGCUUCUAGCACCCAAGUAAUUCGCUCCAAUCUCUCCGGAACCCUCGGAGCCGGCGCCCCUCGCCCGCGCGCCCCUCUCACGGUGCUGCAGCCGCCACCGCCGCGCUCAAGUCUGGCCCCAGAUGUUUCCAGCAGCAGCGCCGUCCAGUAAUUACGAGGAAUCGACUGGCGCCGAGUGUGCCCGGCCGGCAUCCGAGGUCCGACCUCCUCCAGCCGAGCCCUUCACACCUCCCUUUUUUCUUAGCGCUUUCCCG
rnacentral:lncRNA from 1 species